rnacentral:lncRNA from 1 species
CGGAAUACCACCAGCUGCCAGGGAGAACGAGCUUGGAGCUAGCGGCAGGGCUUAACCCGGCGAAGCUCUGAGAUGGGUUGCUGAAGGAUUCCGGGAGGCAGCUGCAACAGGGCAUCACUCACUGUCCAGGCAUAUCCGUUUCUGAGUGCAAAAGGAAGAACUUGAGCGAGCGGCAAUUGGAGUGAAAAUUGCUUUGUAGUAUCUAAAAGCAGCAUGGAUCGUGGGCAGCUGAGCUGCAACAAAUCAACAGAAAUUCAUGUGAAAAUCAUUGACCACCAUAUGCUGCUCCAGCUUCCUUCAGCUCCUAAUUCUAGGAGCUUGACAACUAAAGCAAACCACAGACAGCCACAGGCACUCACUGCCAGCCCUGACAAAAAAAAUCACAAAAGUCACCUCACAGGGUGGCAGCCAGCAACUCCUGUGGAAGGUCCAGCAGACCAGGCUAUCCAUACAGCUGUGGUCCCUCAACUCCCUCCCAGCAGCCCAGACUUGAAGCUGCUCAAGGAGCAAAGAGUACCUCUGACACCAUACUUGCAGGUGAUUUUAAACUGCUGCUACUGCUACUGCUAAGUCACUUCAGUCGUGUCCAACUCUGUGUGACCCCAUAGAUGGCAGCCCACCAGGCUCCCCUGUCCCUGGGAUUCUCCAGGCAAGAACACUGGAGUGGGUUGCCAUUUCCUUCUCCAAUGAUUUUAAACUAGAUAGUUAAAAACUGACUUGUUUGAUUCUGACCUGUAUAUAAUUUUUGUAUAAGCUAGCUAAUACUGAGAGGCUAAAAAUUAAACUAAAGAUCAUAUAAAACCUGUACAUAAUUCUCUUACUUCCAUCUGACAAAAUUCAGAUUCUAAUGUGCAUCCUUAUUUAUAAGUUACUUCACUUAUUAAUUUUUUUAUUCAGGAAAUACCUUCAACAAAAAAACCAUCAAAGUGAUUUUGAGUUAGAAAAUAUGUGUCAAUUAAACUUUAAGCAAAAUCUCACAAUGGUAUUUACUUUUAACUAAUUAAGACAACUUAAUAAAAAAAAAAAAAAAAAACUUUUAUUUCCCUAA